ACUGAAUAGAUACCCGGGUAGUCCCAGCUGUAAACGAUGCAGGCUAGGUGUUUGGACGGCCACGUGCCGUUCUAGUGCCGCAGGGAAGCUGUUAAGCCUGCCGCCUGGGGAGUACGAUCGCAAGAUUGAAACUUAAAGGAAUUGGCGGGGGAGCACCACAAGGGGUGAAGCUUGCGGUUUAAUUGGAGUCAACGCCGGAAAUCUCACCGGGAGCGACAGCAGUGUGAAAGCCAGAUUAAAGGUCUUGCUAGACGAGCUGAGAGGAGGUGCAUGGCCGUCGCCAGUUCGUGCCGUGAGGUGUCCUGUUAAGUCAGGCAACGAUCGAGACCCGCAUCCUCUGUUGCAACCAGCUUUGUGCUGGGCACACUGAGGAGACCGCCACUGAUAAAGUGGAGGAAGGAGCGGGCCACGGCAGGUCAGUAUGCCCCGAAUCUCCCGGGCCACACGCGAGCUGCAAUGGCAGGUACAAUGGGUUCCGACCUCGAAAGGGGAAGGCAAUCUCGAAAGCCUGCCGUAGUUGGGAUU
rnacentral:rRNA from 1 species